GGUCGAAAGAGGAAAUUCAUUCGCGUUUCGGCUGUCGAAGUUGAAUGUUUGUAUGACAGAUGGUGUUUCGGCAUCGUUUGCGUCUUACAUUCUUCGAAUCGAUGUCGAACGCGUGCACUUUUCCUCUAGUAGGACGUCGCGAUCCGUUGGGUGUCUGUCUAAGACUUGAGGUGGAGCCUACGUGAUAUAAGAUUGCGUAGACCCUCGAUGUUCCGACAGACUCGCUCGACGGUAUACUAAUGGCGCGGGGCCGCUACUUUAGUUAGCGUUCGGCCCGUAGCAAGCACGUUCUGUGUUUGACGGUAAUCGGACCAAGUGCCGAUUCUGUCCCAGAACGACUGUUGGUUACGGUGUUCUCGAACAGACCUCG
rnacentral:rRNA from 1 species